UUCUUUUAUUUGAUUUACUAAUACGAAACAAAGUCACAGGGCGAGAGGGACCACAACAGUACACAUGAAGGCUCCUUGUAGCACCCGAGGGCGCCUGAGGGCACCUGGGUGCUCCUGAAGGUACA